rnacentral:rRNA from 1 species
GAUGAACGCUAGCUACAGGCUUAACACAUGCAAGUCGAGGGGAAACGACAUCGAAAGCUUGCUUUUGAUGGGCGUCGACCGGCGCACGGGUGAGUAACGCGUAUCCAACCUGCCCAUCACUUGGGAAUAACCUUGCGAAAGUAAGACUAAUACCCAAUGACAUCCCACGAAGACAUCUGAAUGGGAUUAAAGAUUUAUCGGUGAUGGAUGGGGAUGCGUCUGAUUAGCUUGUUGGCGGGGUAACGGCCCACCAAGGCAACGAUCAGUAGGGGUUCUGAGAGGAAGGUCCCCCACAUUGGAACUGAGACACGGUCCAAACUCCUACGGGGGGCAGCAGUGAGGAAUAGUGGGCAAUGGGCGAGAGCCUGAACCAGCCAAGUAGCGUGCAGGAUGACGGCCCUAUGGGUUGUAAACUGCUUUUAUAAGGGAAUAAAGUGGGUCUCGUGAGACUUUUUGCAUGUACCUUAUGAAUAAGAACCGGCUAAUUCCGUG